rnacentral:rRNA from 1 species
GGUUAAGCGACUAAGCGUACACGGUGGAUGCCUAGGCAAUCAGAGGCGAUGAAGGACGUGCUAAUCUGCGAUAAGCGUCGGUAAGGUGAUAUGAACCGUUACAACCGACGAUUUCCGAAUGGAAACCCAGUGCAAUUCGUUGCACUAUCGUUUGAUGAAUACAUAGUCAAACGAAGCGAACCGGGGAACUGAAACAUCUCAGUACCCCGAGGAAAGAAAUCAACCGAGAUUCCCUAGUAGCGGCGAGCGAACGGGGAGCAGCCCAGAGUCUUAAUCAGCAUUAGCAUCAGGAGAACGGUCUGGAAAGUCCGGCAGUAAAGGGUGAUAGCCCCGUAUCCGAAGGUGUUAGUGUUGUGAACUCGACGAGUAGGGCGGGACACGUGUUAUCCUGUCUGAAUAUGGGGGACCAUCCUCAAGGCUAAAUACUCCUGAUUGACCGAUAGUGAACCAGUACCGUGGGAAAGGCG